rnacentral:tRNA from 1 species
GCCGUGGGUGGCCCAGCGGGUGUGGGCGAUGCCGCUGUGGCCGGCCAGGGGCGCGGCGACCAGCGCCUCCUCCAGGGCCGCGACCUUGCCCAGGGCAC